rnacentral:lncRNA from 1 species
GUUAUAAAGAAAGAAAGAGCAGAACCAAGAGAGAGGGAGAGAGUGGAGCCCUAGUCGAUUGGCAACCCGCCGCCAAAGGUGGUGGUUCAUUUUGACAAGCGCAGGGACUGGUCUUUAAGUUUAACCCUAGUACCUUCCCCAAAUCAGAAUGGCACUAAACCCAAUGGUGCGGGCAUUGCAGCGGCCAACCACCAUCAAUACUCCAUCUAUGUUCUUCAUCCUAUCAUUUUGGAUCUGUGUGGAUGUUAGAGGUGAUGGUGAAACUCUUAGCCAAGUUGUAUCGUCUCAGGGGAAGAAAUGUUUAUGUUUAGUUUUCAUCUCAUCAAGAGCUAACCACAAUGUAGCAAAAUACUCAAGGACGAGUAGACUAGGAGGUUGACAUAUUUUAAAGAAGGGAUCUUUUUGGAGCUCAGAGCAUUGUCAUUAACAAGCCUCUUUCCCAGUAACCUAAUCGUUACUUCUAGUGGUGGAAAAUGGGCUGGUUAAGUGGAUCGGGUAACGGGUCAAAAGGAGUAAUUUUUUGGUACAAAUUACAACAGAUGGGGUCGGCUCGACUCACUUUUUGUUCAGAAGUUUUAGUUUUUUUAAUAAUAGUUGACGUGUCAAGUACGAUCACCAAAGUUAUAUUGUUAAAAAAAUAAUAAAAAAAGCUUGACUCGACUCGACCCGAAACCCGUUCCGACCCGGACCUGUUUUGACCCGAACCAAAACAACCUUUUUUUAUAAUUGACCGUUCUGACCCAUUACCCGACCCGACCCGUUUGCCAGGUCUAGAAAUAUUAAAGUAGGAACUCAUACUAUCUUAUAAGUCAAUUUCAUAUAAAAAGAGGACCUUUUUUAUGAGGUGUCUGCACCAUUAGAUUUGUUUGCAUUGUUUAUCAAUUAGAUUUGUUUGCAUUGUUUAUCUGCUUGGUUUUGACUUGGGUUAGAAUGGUUUCAGGUCAGAAUGGGUUCAAUUGGGUUCGGGUCAAAACGGGUCGCAACCAAAAUAAGUUUGGGUCAAGAUGGAUUCUAGCAAAAAUAGGUACGGGUCAAAAUGGAUCAACUUUGACUAUAUUAAACUACCAUAAGAGAAUCCCUUAUGUAUUAACGCUACGUGUCUACGUCAGCCAGGAGGUACUGAAUGCGGCUACUAUGUGAUGAAAUUCAUGAAGGAGAUAGCUUACGAAGGAGUUGAAAUACUUGAUAAUGAUAAUGGAAAGGAGUAGAAGAAUACUCGGCUGCGGAUAUGGAUGACAUUCAUGAAGAUUGGUUGACUUAUGCGAUUAACCUUAUUUUUAAGUUAUAAAUCUUAUUUUAGGUGUUGAUAAUGUAUUGACAAACAAUUCUUUUUUUGUUAAUGUAAAAAUAUUUGUAGUAUACUUGGCAAAUGAUUAUGUAAUGGAUUGUUUUGGUAUAUAUAUGUGUGUGUAUUUGUU